GAUGAACGCUGGCGGCGUGCCUAAUACAUGCAAGUCGAGCGAACAGACGAGGAGCUUGCUCCUUUGACGUUAGCGGCGGACGGGUGAGUAACACGUAGGUAACCUACCUAUAAGACUGGGAUAACUUCGGGAAACCGGAGCUAAUACCGGAUAAUAUUUCGAACCGCAUGGUUCGAUAGUGAAAGAUGGCUUUGCUAUCACUUAUAGAUGGACCUGCGCCGUAUUAGCUAGUUGGUAAGGUAACGGCUUACCAAGGCAACGAUACGUAGCCGACCUGAGAGGGUGAUCGGCCACUCUGGAACUGAGACACGGUCCAGACUCCUACGGGAGGCAGCAGUAGGGAAUCUUCCGCAAUGGGCGAAAGCCUGACGGAGCAACGCCGCGUGAGUGAUGAAGGUCUUCGGAUCGUAAAACUCUGUUAUUAGGGAAGAACAAACGUGUAAGUAACUGUGCACGUCUUGACGGUACCUAAUCAGAAAGCCACGGCUAACUACGUG
rnacentral:rRNA from 1 species